AUGCAUUCCUUACACACAUAUCAGGACAUCCCCUACACACUCCACCUCCUGUGAACAAACUCAUUGGUGGAACAUGAAGGUGGACCCUGGGACCCAGACCUUGAGCUGUGUAAAGGGCCCCCCCCCCAAAAUGGAGCUGCUUCCCGUUCUCCCAGAACAUUGAUUUUGUGACCACAGUUACAAACAGCCUCCAGAGAUCCUGUUCUACACCAGACCAGUGGAGCCAGAUUGCAGCUAGAGCCCAUCAUCAUCCUCAUCUGCUUGUAAGUAGGUAAUCUAGUAUAUUAUUCGUGGCACUAAUCUCUAAUUUACCUCACAUUAAAGAAACACUAUAGUCCC